AAAAUAAAGCUCAGAUGAGAUGAGCAGUCAUGGUGCCUAUGCUUGUGUGUGGGUCGUGCUAUACGGCCAACAAUAUGUAUACUGCUAUCGUCGUGUCUUGGUCAAUGUGUUUUCUCUCUCGAGAAAGGCUGGUGGUGCUUGUACUUGUUCACCUAUUCUCCGUCAAUAAACACAUGUGAUGAUUGUACUUGUUCACCUAUCCGCCGUGAAUAAACACAUGUGAUGAUUGUGCUUGUACUCUUGUCUGUUAUGUUUUCACGUCUCAUACGAGCUGAUGGAAUGCUCUUUGAAAUUUACCUUUCUACUUUCGGCACAACAAACAACUGUCCGACGUACUACUCUUUUACCAUCUUUCGGCGGCAAGUCCCAACUUUCAUGGCUGCCUUUUUUUUAACGUGGUGGCUGCCAAGUUGUUUGCAGAGUUUGCUAAAUUGACUACAUGAAAUGUGUC
rnacentral:lncRNA from 1 species